rnacentral:snoRNA from 11 species
UUCCUUCCUAAAAAGCACUUGCUGGGCCUUUCUGUUCCCGUGGUCCAGGGAGUUGUCGCGGAAGGAGACAGUAACGGCUCUGCCUGUGGGUGAGGCAAGGACACGUGCCCUUAUGCCUCAAUCGGUGGUGCUACAAAC